AUUGAACGCUGGCGGCAGGCCUAACACAUGCAAGCCGAACGGUAACAGGAAGAAGCUUGCUUCUUUGCUGACGAGUGGCGGACGGGUGAGUAAUGUCUGGGAAACUGCCUGAUGGAGGGGGAUAACUACUGGAAACGGUAGCUAAUACCGCAUAACGUCGCAAGACCAAAGAGGGGGACCUUCGGGCCUCUUGCCAUCGGAUGUGCCCAGAUGGGAUUAGCUAGUAGGUGGGGUAACGGCUCACCUAGGCGACGAUCCCUAGCUGGUCUGAGAGGAUGACCAGCCACACUGGAACUGAGACACGGUCCAGACUCCUACGGGAGGCAGCAGUGGGGAAUAUUGCACAAUGGGCGCAAGCCUGAUGCAGCCAUGCCGCGUGUAUGAAGAAGGCCUUCGGGUUGUAAAGUACUUUCAGCGGGGAGGAAGGGAGUAAAGUUAAUACCUUUGCUCAUUGACGUUACCCGCAGAAGAAGCACCGGCUAACUCCGU
rnacentral:rRNA from 1 species